UACGCCUGCGUUGGCGGACAACGAGUCGCCUGGCUCAGAAGAUCCAGGCGAGAGAGCUCUGUGAGCUGGCGGGUGGGUCCUGGGACCAUCUGUAAGCGUGUGGGUGUGUGUCCGGUAUAUAGGCUGGUCAUGCCGUGUAGGAGAGUAGUGUUGAUUAGUCUAUGCAACUUCUCAUCCUUUCUCUGUAUUCUACUCACCUCGGUUCUUCCUCCUCACCUGUACCCUCCUCUCAUCCCCCAAAUUCCUGCUGUAUCUUGGUGUUGCAUAAAUCUAUGUUACGGGACACUACAAUAUGGUAAUCAGAGCCUAGAUCGCUCCGCUCGCGAAUCCAAAAUCGACUCGUAAAAUUCCAUCGCAAAAGGUGCCUUGAUUUGCUUCGGCGAAUCGGCCCAAAAUCCUGAGCGGGGUUGAGUUGAUUUAGGAAGAGCCGCGACGGCACCGUCGAAGCCCUCUGCCCAGACCGGUUUGAUUUUGGAUCGAAUGGAGGGCCUUCAAAAAUCGGUGGAGGGGAUUUUGGCGAAAUUUGAUGUGAUGACGACCGAGGUGAAGGCGAUUGGGAAGGACGUCAGUGAUUUGCGCCAGCAGAUCAACGACUUCGGCGAGGAUUUGGACGGUGUCAAGCGCCACCUCGGCGAAUCGACCAAGUCUAUGCCGUCGCUCGCGGCGCAUGCCUCGGGACCUCCGCUCGUCAUCCCCAUCGCUAGCAAGACUCCGUUACUGGCCAACAGCGGCGGCGCUCCGCUACUGAAUACACCACAACAGUCGCGUGCAUAUGUCGCUGCACCGCCCUCACUACAACACCAGGAGAUGCCAGAGUAUGAUGGAUACAGUGGAUACACUGCUCGUCCUCCUCGCAUGGAUUUUCCUAAAUUUCAAGGGGAGGCACCACAGUUGUGGAUUGACAUGUGCUUGACAUAUUUUGAGCUCUAUAAGACACCAGCGCAUCAUUGAGUGAGCCAUGCCAGUCUGCACUUGGAGGGGCAUGCUGCAAUGUGGUUCCAGGCGUUUAAACGCCGGCAGCGCCCGGUCUCAUGGGAUAAUUUUUUAGCAGCUAUUUUGGAGGAAUUUGGUGCAGAUGAGUAUGACAGUCAGUUGUCCAAGUUACUGCAACUCAAACAAACAGGAUCUGUUGCCGAGUACAAGCAACAAUUUGAGACUGUCAUGUACCAUCUGACAGCUCUCGAUCCUUCUCUGAACUCAUGGUGGUUUGUCACCCAGUUCAUGCUUGGACUGAGGGAUGACAUCAGGUGUGCCGUACGGUUGCAGGCGCCCUCCAGUGUCACGCGUGCGGCGUCUUUGGCCAGGAUCCAGGAAGAAGAAGGAGAGACACACAGGCCUCGUGGGCGUCCUCCUGCUCCAACCAAGCACCCACCUACCUCAACAGUGCAGCCAACUAUGACAACAACACCACGCACAGAUUGGCCGCGUCGCACUGGUAAUGAUGAUUUCAACCGUGAACGUCAGCUUCGUGAUUUUCGUCAUGCUAAUGGUCUUUGUUUCAAGUGUGGGGACAAAUACAACAAAGAGCAUCAGUGUCGUCGAACGGGGCAAUUGUUGACCAUCGAAGUGGGGGACUAUGGGGAAGUUAUUUCUGAUGAAGUUGUUCAUGCCCUGAGUCUUCUCGAUGAAACAACAACAACAACCACAACUGGGGAAUGUUGUCAGUUAUCUGUACAUGCUCUCGCGGGUACUGAAUUGUUACACACGAUUCGUUUGCAGGCUACUGUUGAUGGCCAGGCAAUGUUGCUUUUGGUCGAUUCGGGCAGCUCACAUACAUUUGUGACCCAAUCUUUUGCUGAGCGUGCCAACUGCAUUGUUACAGCAGCUCCAGCAGUGCCGGUUAGAGUUGCCAAUGGUCAGUUUCUGCAUUCAGACUCUCAAGUACAAGGACUGAAGUGGUGCACACAGGGCCAUGAAUUUUCUACUGACAUGCGCAUCCUUGAGCUGGGGGCAUAUGAUGCCAUUCUUGGAAUGGAUUGGCUCACUUGUUUCAGUCCUAUGAACUGUCACUGGGGAGAGAAGACCAUGCAAUUUCAGUAUCACGACCAACUGAUUACCCUACAAGGAAUUGUAGUUGCAGAGCAAGGGGUGUUACAGGAAUUGCAUGCAGAACAACUAGUGAAAUGGUUGGAUGACAAUGAAGUAUGGGCCCUGGCUGUAGUUGAGAAUUUCUCGACGGUGGACAAGCAGCAGUCUCCUCUAGCACCUGAUCUUCAGGCAUUGCUAACCGAAUUUUCAGAUGUGUUUUCCGAGCCAAAUUUUGUGCCACCUCGGAGAUCUUUGGACCAUGCCAUCACUCUGCAACAGGAUGCACAACCAGUAAAUUCCAGACCCUAUCGAUACUCUCCCUUGCAAAAAAGAUGAGAUCGAGCGACAAGUUAUGGAAAUGCUACAAGCCGGUGUGAUCAUUCCCAGCAUGAGUCCCUUCGCCUCCCCGGUCUUACUUGUGAAGAAGAAAGAUAAUACAUGGCGCUUUUGCAUCGAUUAUCGCCGUCUCAACGAUCUUACUGUCAAAAACAAAUUCCCACUUCCAAUUGUUGAUGAAUUACUGGACGAGCUUGCGGGAACCUAAUUCUUCUCAAAGCUGGACUUAUGGGCAGGCUACCAGCAAAUCCGAAUGCGCCCAGCUGAUGAAGCAAAGACAACGUUCAAAACACAUCAUGGUCAUUUUCAGUUUCGGGUAAUGCCUUUCGGCCUCACCAACGCACCGGCUACCUUUCAGUGUGUCAUGAACUCAAUAUUUGCUCCAUUCCUACGCAAGUUUGUGAUAGUGUUUUUGGACGACAUACUGGUCUACAGUGCUUCAUGGACCCUGCAUUUGCAACACCUGCGCCUUGUGCUGGAAACACUGCGGAACUCACAAUUCUUUGCCAAAUUGACCAAAUGUUCCGUCGGCCAACAAAGCAUUCAGUACCUCGGCCAUAUUAUCUCUUCUGAGGGUGUGGCUACUGAUCCUGAGAAGACAACAACAAUGGAACAAUGGCCAUUACCAACAACAGCGACUGAACUGCGUGGUUUCCUCGGCCUGACAGGAUACUAUCGAAAAUUCGUGCAGAAUUAUGGCUUAAUUUCCAAGCCGCUGACCCAGUUACUCACCAAAAAGGGUUUUGAGUGGAAUGAUCAAGCGACUGAGGCCUUUAUGACAUUGAAAUCUGUGAUGGCUCGUACCCCUGUUCUCGCCCUUCCGGAUUUCUCUGUGCCUUUCGCCGUCGAGACAGAUGCCUGUGACACAGGUGUGGGGGCAGUACUGAUGCAACGGGGUCACCCUAUUGCAUACAUGAGCAAAGCCUUGGGUGUUAUGAAUCGCAAGUUAUCAAUCUACGAGAAAGAAUUCCUCGCAGUGAUCAUGGCGAUCGACAAAUGGCGUCAGUACCUACAGCGAGGUCCAUUCACCAUCUUGACAGACCAUAAGAGCCUUUGCAAUCUCACUGAUCAGCAAGUCACGUCCGAUUUGCAGCGCAAAGCUAUGGCAAAAUUAAUUGGUUUGCAAUUUCAGUUCAAAUACAAGCGUGGCGUGGAUAAUGGGGCUGCAGAUUCUCUGUCCCGUGUCGCUCAUCGGUUUGAAACCCAAACCCUUUCAGUUUGCCGGCCAGACUAGGUACAAGAGGUUCUGAAUUCGUACCACACUGAUACUGAAAUGAUGACACUGUUGCAGCAACUAGCCAUUCAUUCUCCUGAUGACAAGGGCUAUGCACUAGAACACGGGUUAAUCAAGUACAAGGGCAGGUUGGUUAUUGGUAAAAAUUUGGCACUACAAACUAAAUUGGUAGCUUCUCUGCAUGACAGUGCUGUGGGCGGACAUUCCGGUAUUCAAGCAACGUAUCAGCGUGCUAAGAAACUCUAUUACUGGCCAGGCAUGAAAUUGGCUGUGGAGCUAUUUGUUAAGCAAUGCCCAAUCUGUCAACACGCUAAGCAUCCACACACUAGACCUGCUGGGCUUCUGCAGCCUUUGCCACCUCCCCAAGCUCCAUGGCAGGAAAUCACAAUGGAUUUUGUGGAAGGUUUGCCAAUGUCUGAUGGUGCCAAUGUGAUUUUGGUCGUCGUUGACCGUCUGACCAAGUAUGCACAUUUUCUGCCCUUACAUCAUCCUUACACAGCGACUACUAUUUCCAAGAUGUUUGUGGAUCAGAUUGUUCGUUUACAUGGAGUACCAUUGUCAAUCAUUUCGGACCGUGACAAGAUCUUCACCAGUCACAUAUGGAAGGACAUGUUCAAGGCAGUGGGCACCAAACUACAUUACAGCACGGCGCAUCAUCCACAAACUGACGGGCAGAGCGAGCGGGUUAAUCAGUGUGUUGAGCAAUAUCUGCGUUGUGCUGUUCAGGAUCGUCCCAAGACUUGGCGGCGAUGGUUGGCAAUGGCAGAAUUCUGGUACAAUACCAGCCACCAUUCCUCUCUUGGGUGCUCUCCCUUCCAUGCACUGUACAAAAGAGAACCCAACUUUGGUGGCAUGCCAAACAUCACUGUUGAUUCGGCCUCUCCAGUUGUGGACACCGCAGCGGAUUAUCAAGAGCACACGGAGUUGCUAAGGGUGCAUCUUCUGCGAGCCCAGCAACGCAUGAAGUCACAGGCAGAUCGUCGCCGCACCGAGCGUCAAUUUGUCGUCGGUGAGCAGGUCCUCUUGAAGCUGCAGCCGUAUGCACAACACUCAGUGGUCAAUCGUCCCUGUCACAAGCUUUCAUACAAAUACUUUGGACCAUACACCAUUCUGGAACGAAUUGGAGAGGUCGCGUACCGCCUGAAAUUGCCGGUUGCUGCCCAAGUACAUCCAGUCUUCCACAUUUCACAGCUAAAGCCUUUCUCGGCCGAUUACUCGCCGGUUUUCAGCGAGCUUCCGCCGCCGGACCUGGUGCUCUGUGAUAAGCUUCCGUCAGCAAUCCUGCAACGCCGCAUGGUCCGUGAUGGCAACAGGGCCACAACUCAAGUGCUUAUCAAAUGGGGUGAUCUGCCAGAUGAUUCCGCCACAUGGGAGAACUAUGAGGUGGUCAAGCAUCGUUUCCCGUCUUCUUCAUUGUGGGAUGAAGCUCAAUCUCAAGCGGCGGCAAGUGUCACGCCUACGCCUGCGUUGGCGGACAACGAGUCGCCUGGCUCAGAAGAUCCAGGCGAGAGAGCUCUGUGAGCUGGCGGGUGGGUCCUGGGACCAUCUGUAAGCGUGUGGGUGUGUGUCCGGUAUAUAGGCUGGUCAUGCCGUGUAGGAGAGUAGUGUUGAUUAGUCUAUGCAACUUCUCAUCCUUUCUCUGUAUUCUACUCACCUCGGUUCUUCCUCCUCACCUGUACCCUCCUCUCAUCCCCCAAAUUCCUGAUGUAUCUUGGUGUUGCAUAAAUCUAUGUUACGGGACACUACAAUUAUCUAUCUAUGCCUAUUGUAUCACAAGUCGGAGCCGAAUAUAUAUCGAGUUGGAGUAGUAGAAGAAGAAAUAUACCGCGUCUGUUGGAGCGGCGUGCGCGUAAUUGUUCGCAGCGGCUACUAGAGCCAGCGCUCCGCGGCGCGUAAAAACUGGUUGCGGAGGUGUUGUAAACGUUUUUUUAGCGCGCCGCACGUUGCGCGCCUGUUGGAGAUGCUCUUAUGUUCCUUAGUCUGACUUUGCUCUUCCUGCAUUCUAC
rnacentral:lncRNA from 1 species